UGGGGAAUAUUGGACAAUGGGCGAAAGCCUGAUCCAGCCAUGCCGCGUGUGUGAAGAAGGUCUUCGGAUUGUAAAGCACUUUAAGUUGGGAGGAAGGGCAGUAAGCGAAUACCUUGCUGUUUUGACGUUACCGUCAGAAUAAGCACCGGCUAACUCUGUGCCAGCAGCCGCGGUAAUACAGAGGGUGCAAGCGUUCAUCGGAAUUACUGGGCGUAAAGCGCGCGUAGGUGGUUCGUUAAGUUGAAUGUGAAAGCCCCGGGCUCAACCUGGGAACUGCAUCCAAAACUGGCGAGCUAGAGUAGGGCAGAGGGUGGUGGAAUUUCCUGUGUAGCGGAGAAAUGCGUAGAUAUAGGAAGGAACACCAGUGGCGAAGGCGACCACCUGGGCUCAUACUGACACUGAGGUGCGAAAGCGUGGGGAGCAAACAGG
rnacentral:rRNA from 1 species